rnacentral:miRNA from 1 species
GACGUCGAUAUUCGACGUCAUAAACACGAUCAACUUUGGUGUUUAUGACGUCGAUAUUCGACGUCAUAAACACGGUCAACUUUGGUGUUUAUGACGUCGAUAUUCGACGUCAUAAACACGAUCAACUUUGGCGUUUAUGACGUCGAUAUUCGACGUCAUAAACACGAUCAACUUUGGUGUUUAUGACGUCGAUAUUCGACGUCAUAAACAGGAUCAACUUUGGUGUUUAUGACGUCGAUAUUCGACGUC